UGUUAGGUAACAAUAGUCUAGAGUGUGUAUAGGGAUUGGACAUGUGGGGGGGUACCCAUCGGCCCCAUAUCGUGCACAGUAUCAAGUACACGGCGAGCGCAGUUAAUUCACUAGCGCCGUGUGGUUUGUACUGGUGUGCCAUGCAUAUGGUCCCGUGGCGGUUAGAUUCUGUUACUCAACGUAAACGCCUGAUUGUAAACGUAGCUUCAACAUUGUCGUCUUCAAAGAGUUCCAGAAAACAGCCUUUUAAAAACUAGUUGGGAGUACAACAGCACAUUCUGACAGCAUUGCUCACUAAAACACCGAUUUCUUUACUGAUUUGGGGGCUUCAACAUACUGAAAGGAUGAGUUAAAGGUUGGCAGCUCUGCCAGCCUGCUGCAUUCAAAUGCAUUUCACAGGAAUGCCCCCGGAAAUUACUGAAGGGGGGAAAGUGGGGUUGUAACCCCAUGACUCCAUCCCAGAUACACAACAGGUUCACUUACAACUCCAACACCUGUGAACCUUGGAAGAUUUCCAAUCAGUGACUUAAAAGAAAACCAUGCCAGCAUUUCAGUAAUAAACACCCCCUCCUUGUGGCUUUCCUAAUUUUGAAUUUGUAGUUUUCUUUCUUUUCUUCAAUCCUCAAAAUAGCACCAAAGGGGAUCACGUCUGCUGACGAGCACUCAUAGACAGUAGGCUAUUUUAAAGCAUAGCUUCUUCAAGUAGAUCGUCAUUACAGUUAUGACAGAAGAGGUCUGAUGUGUUUAUUAAACAAAGUGCUCAGUCAUGUUUUCUGAACCAUUGGUCCAGAUUUUGUGAACUGUUUUUUUUUAAUGCUUGGUCCUUUUUUAGGGGGACCAUGGUCUGUUUGUAACACCUCACCCACAGAUUCUGUGUUUUGAUUGGCCGAGGGCUAGUCGCACGGCAUUUGCUACUUUUGCUCUCUCGUCGUGUGUCCCAAAUUGCUAUAACCAUAGCAAUCACAAUACUAUGGCCAUAGCAGCAAGCUGUGCUGUGAGCAGAUGCAUGUGAUGUGCGCGUUGCAGUUAUUUUCAAGUGCCAGCUGGGUCCAAAGAUCUUGAAAAGUGGCAGUCUAGAAAAGCAGUUGUGUAUUUUCAACCAAUGCCAUGUUUAAAAUAAAAGUACAUUCCAGGUUUAGUAAUCAGUCAUCACUUUAAAUCAAGCAGAAUCUGUGGAAAGUUUUAUAAAACAAAUACGAAGGCGAAGGUGAUCCAUGGAGUAUUCUGUUUUGCCAAGGCAAAGUCGAGGGAAAAUGGUAUACUAUCUUAGAUCACCUCAAGAGGCUAGUUUUACUUCAUCUCUCAGAGCAGUCAAUCUUUGAACACUAUUUUGAAGAGUUCAUAUAACAAGUUACCUGUCAGGUUUUUUAGGUCCAUGCUCUGCAUUUAACUGCUAACAACAGUGAGCGGGAAUUUUAAGAAUUUAGCCAAAAAAGUUAAAGCAGCCAGCCUAUGUUUCAUUGCAAGCACUGUCUUGUUAGUGCCUGUUUGUGUUUAGAGAUGAUGGCAUCAUUCCUGUAUUAAACCUGAUCUUUUGCCAGGUUAAGAUGCUCUUUUCGUGCUGACUGUACGCACUGUCAGUGAAAUGAACAAUGGUUCCGUUCACUGGAAAAUUGUAUGUACCUCUGGGGUGAGAAUAAUUGGGCUGACAUUAUUAGUCUAAAUGUGCAAUGAACAAAGCAUAAAUAGGCAUAACUAUUAAGUUGUAAAAUCAUUCCUAGCUUUCUUAAGCACUGUCAUGUCUAAAUGUAAGAAACAGUCAAGUCGCAAGUAAAAUGAAGUAUUUUGUCAGUUCUUAAAGGUAGUGGACACGAUUGGUUUUGUGUCAUAAUUUCACAAGAUUGGCAGAUUACGGUGUAUAAUAUUCACUGCAACUUACAUUGCACUGACAUAUUUUGUGCUUGAUCCGACUGCUUUGUGAAAAAUCAAGAAAAGCAGUGUGACAUUUUCAACGCUUAAAUCAAAGAUCUUGUAAUUUAAGUUGCAUAAAAUCUGUGGAUUACAGAGCGUUUGUAUUAAGUGAACAGCAUCUGCGUAGUUAGGGUGGGAAAUGGGUGUAACAGGCAAACAAUACACACAAGAAAAUUGGCACCUGUAAUGUGAUGUGCGAAGUGAAAUGAACUCUUAUACGAUGGUCGGCUGACCAUCACAAAAAAAGAGAACAAAAUUUCUGUUGUCUCAAAAACUACAGCAUUCUGGGUGGAAAUAUUUGACAGACUGAUUUAAGCUGUUGUGGACUUUCUUUCAAGAAAGGUAUCUCAGGGUUAUACGGUAGUCAGAUUCGGGGGAUUUUACCAGUGGUGUACACUACCUUUAAAACAUUAUCAAUUUUAGCAGCCGGCUGCAAGUACAUGGGAUUUCUAUGUUCGCAGCCGACUGCAAGUACAUAGGAAAUCUUUUCCAGUGUGUUUUUGCAUUCCUCCACAAUUUUGUUGAAGGACGACAUAAGACAAGGUCCUUGCUUCAGACGAAGGGAUUGACAUAUACAAUUGUUGUACAUAUUAGUCUAAAUUCUUUGUCCAAAAACCAUGUCAGUAAUGGCAACCAUAUUGCAAUUUUUGUAUUUGUUGGUAUUCAACCUGAAUUGAACCUCGUUUUCUUUUUGCAUUUUGUUUUCCUUUUUUGGGGUGGGGGGUUGUAUUUCCAAGCUGUAAUUUCAUUCACUUAAUUUGAGAGAGCUUUUGUCUCUUUGGCCUUUGAAUGCAAAAUAAAAAUUUGAAUAUCUACAGUAUUUUGUGUUUAUAUAUAUCCUCGCGGCACAGCAGGCGGAGGUGGUACUGUGUGACAGUUAACCUCUUGGAGGUUUUUGUGGUUUUGAAGAGCAACCUCUUACAUGACACAUAUAUAUGAGUUUUGCACUGGCACGUUUCAGAAUUGUUCAAACUUGCAAAGGAGAGAUACCUUUAUUUUUGCUCAGCACCAGUGGAAGAAAGAACAUAGCAGUGUGGAAUUUUAUUUCUGAUAAACAUAUCCCCAUCUUGAAAAUGCUGCUCGGAAGUAUUUGCAUUAUGUUCAGUACUCACAAAAAUUGAGUUCAAGCGGCCUUCUAGUUGACAUUCGGUUUACAUUGACUGGCAUUAGCACAGCAAAAGAUAUAAAAUUACAGACUCAAAAAAAUUAAAGGAAGCAGCAUCAAAUUGGUUGAGUUUUAUAGUGUAACCUGAACAGCAAGCAUUAUUAAUUUCUGUUUUAUUUUAAUUUUUUUGGGGGGGGGGAAUCUUUGUGUUUCUCUCUGUUCUAUUUUGUCUUCCUAGAUUUUAGGUUACAGAUGCUGUAAGAAAUUUUCUAAAAGUGUUGGCCUUUAGUGGAAAAAAAGCUUGUUAUGUCAACCAAUGCAGAAAAAAAAGUUGACCACUGUGUUUGAAACUAUGGAUGUCACAAACAGUGAGCAUUUAGUCAUGGAAGAAGCACCUAAUGGUUUAGGGAAAAAUAGUUGACAAAAAAUUAUGUGGCUUAUGGAUGUGUUUAAAAUAUCUAAUGUAUAUGUAACACAUGAGCACUUUGUAAAUACGUGAACGGAAGUUUAUUGCAGAUUAUAUAUGACAAUGGUAGUUCAAAGAAUGAUUUUAAAGGAAUUGGGUGAGAAGGAAUCGGCAGUGAAGGAUUAACAGAAAAAUGAAUAUCUGAACGACA